rnacentral:misc_RNA from 1 species
GGACUACUGGGGUUUCUAAUCCUGUUUGCUCCCCACGCUUUCGCGCCUCAGCGUCAGUUUCGGACCAGUUGGCCGCCUUCGCCACCGGUGUUCUUGCGAAUAUCUACGAAUUUCACCUCUACACUCGCAGUUCCACCAACCUCUUCCGAACUCAAGACUCCCAGUAUCGAAGGCAAUUCCAGGGUUGAGCCCUGGGCUUUCACCUCCGACUUAAAAGUCCGCCUACGCGCCCUUUACGCCCAGUGAUUCCGAGCAACGCUAGCCCCCUUCGUAUUACCGCGGCUGCUGGCACGAAGUUAGCCGGGGCUUAUUCUUCCGGUACAGUCAUUAUCUUCCCGGACAAAAGAGCUUUACAACCCUAAGGCCUUCAUCACUCACGCGGCAUGGCUGGAUCAGGCUU